AGUACAUUGCAGGAAGUUUUUAUUCUCCAAUUAAGUCGAGAUUGAAAAGUCAAGCUGGGGAUUUGAUUUGACGAUUUUGUCGACAACUUGAUUGAGAUGGAAGUUCAGUUGCAAGGAAGAAAUAAUUUGUGUGGGUAGUUAUCUAUUUCUUUUAAAUGGUGGUUUGAUGCUUAUAUUAUCUUGAAAUCUUCAAAUGUGUUUGUCUUUCUACUUCGAUUGAUUUGAUCAAAUUAGGUGAUGGAUC